CCUACGGGUGGCAGCAGUAGGGAAUCUUUCACAAUGGGCGAAAGCCUGAUGGAGCAACGCCGCGUGCAGGAUGAAGGCCUUCGGGUUGUAAACUGCUUUUAUAAGAGAGAAAUAUGAUGGUAACUUAUGAAUAAGGAUCGGCUAACUACGGGCCAGCAGCCGCGGUCAUACGUAGGAUCCGAGCAUUAUCCGGAGUGACUGGGUGUAAAGAGUUGCGUAGGUGGCAUAAUAAGUAGCUAGUGAAAUCUGGUGGCUCAACCAUUCAGACUAUUAGCUAAACUGUUAAGCUCGAGACCGUUAGGAGUAACUGUAAUUUCUAGUGUAGGAGUGAAAUCCGUAGAUAUUAGAAGGAACACCAAUAGCGUAGGCAGGUUGCUGGGACGGUUCUGACACUAAGGCACGAAAGCGUAGGGAGCAAACGGGAUUAGAUACCCUAGUAGUC
rnacentral:rRNA from 1 species